AUAAAACAUGGUCAACGGAUGUG
rnacentral:snRNA from 1 species